CAGGGCAAUUAUUUUGUCUGUCCAUCUGCCCAGAGAUCUCUUGGUGCACCAGGAUGGAACAGCAGCUCCUGCACAGGAACAAGUUGCACUUGCACGCACUGCUAUUUGAGACCUACGAUUUAUCUGAGUGGAGAAGCCACUCAGAAUCCCGAUUUUCUUUGUAUUAAGCACCCCAAAUACACUCCAGAACUGCAGCCCAGUUGUCACCAUACAGCAGAGGGAAUCUUUGGCAGCGUUUCAGUGCGUCAUUAUGCUAGAAAGGUGCCUUUGGAAGACGGAAAUAAAUUGGAAGCAUGGGGAUUCAUUGUGAAAUGCCUGCCAGAGGCAGGUAGCAUGGGGACAAGACACAGUCCAAUAUAUUAUAGUCUUGGGUGUGAAUAGAUGAAAAAACUCCAAGCAUAUGCUAAGCUACCCUCCAUAUGAAUAACAGUUUCUAAUUUGCUCAACACGUCUCUAAUAGCCCUGGCAGUCUCUCUUUUCGUAAUUAACAUCUUCAUUUUGUUGCUUUCUAAAGGUGCAACGUAUUCAGGCUCAGAGGAACUCAGCCCCUCGGUGCCAGUGGUGGGCAGUGUGGGCAGUGUGGGAAAGGGCGACCCUUCUCAUGCCCUGGGCCAGCCGAGCCAGCAGCAGCGCGGCUCCCCUGGGGCCCUCUGGCCCCGUGGCAUCGCCUGCAGCCUGCCGCCUGCGGUGAAGAAGUUUAGAAAAAGUGUAGAAGAAUAUAGACUGUGCCGUUUGUAUGUGUGUACUAUUGAUUGGGUAUAUUUUAGCUCCUUGUUGGCAUAGCUUAUAAAACUGCCCUAUUUCAUCACUGUAGUGACUAAAACAACUGCUAACACAAAUCAUGUUACUUGGACUGUUAUUGUUGGAUCCUGCAAGGAGUGGAAGCACAGUGUUUUUACUCUUAGUUUCUUGUUGCUGUUAAAGUUACGGGCACCAGCCCUGUGCAGCCUUGCUUCUGGAGAACUUUAAAUCUCAACUUUGCCUCUUAUUUUGUAUGUAAACAAAACCCAGAGGUGAAUGCCACCGAAGCAUGGGAGUUUCCUGAUGCAGAUUUGUGUACAUGGUCCAAAUCUAAUCAAAUCCAUCCUUAUUUAGUCAGGAGUAGAAACUAAGUUGUGAAGAGCCAAGAUCUGUCUCUUGUCCCUUACCUGCUGUAGGAUUUGUCUGGUUUGGCAGAACGAGGGCUGGUUGUGGAUCCAUAUGCAUAGAUGCAGUAGCACCUUUGACAGCGAGCAGUCCCUGCCUGUGAGACAUUUGUCACGUACAGAUUGCCUGCACAAGGACAGCUCUGUUACAUAGCAUAUGAACACAAACACAUUUUCUAAAAGCAAUUGUAUGCAUAUCAUGGUUAUCCCCAUAAACUAAAGCGUAUAUAUUCAGAAUCAUUCCUGGGGAAUGCAUUUUAAAUCUUGUUUUCAGAAAACGAAAUGUUCCCGAGGUGUCUGUGGCCUGAUGCUGGCAGCAGGCCCCGCCGGGCCCCAGGGCCUGUGGCACCCGCCAGGCGCCAUUUUGCUUGCCCUCCUUUCACUGCCCUGGAGGCCAUUUAGUGUGCAAAUAUUCAGCACUUAGGAAAGCAACUUGGAUUAAGCACUCAGUUACCCUCUUCUCCACUGGGUAGCAGAGCAACACACAAUUUGUGCCAUUUAUCUGGGCACAUGGGAAGCCAGGGGCGAGUGCAGCAGUGGUGCUGCAGCCCCAGCAGCGUGGCUCUCCCGGCGGGACGGGGCCUGGCCCCCUCGCUGGAGACCCUGGCCAGCAGGGCAGGACGAGGCGGUGAUACCUGGGGCACAGGGGGAGUGUGUUGGCCCUUCUGGGGGUGCUGCUGCCCAAGACCCAGGCUGCGGAUCUGCCUCGGCGCUGAUCGUGCCCCAGCCCCGCGCUGCCUCGCAGCAGGGAAGCUGGCUGCGUGAAUUAUCCCCAGAACACAAAAGUUAUUUCCCUCCCACAGCUUCUCCUAUCUGUGUGACCUAGGUACCAACUCAGAGCACAUGCAGAAAGCCACAGGAGUAAAAAAAAAAAAAAAACAGAAACAAACAAACAAAAAAAACCACAGCAAAACAACAAAAAACACCACAUAUCUAUUUAAAUAAUGAAAUAAUGAAAGUUGAUUACUAUUUUAAGCCCUUUAUCAUGUAGAGGCAUUUCAAGCUCAGACACCCUACUCAUCUCCAGCAGUGAGAUAACUAUAAAGGCUUUUCCUGCCUGCCCUGCAGUUUGACAGUACUGGAGUUUCAGGCAAUUAAAAUCACUUCACAUGUCUCUAGUGUACCUGUUAGUCUCUGUAUUCUCAUGCCAACAUGAUUGAGACUUGAAACAGCAAAUUACCUUGUUUGGAGGAGGUGUUUUAUGGGUUCUUUUACUUAAUUGCUGCAAGGUGAAUAUUUCAGUUGGAUUAAUUUAACUAAAUGACACUUGAGUUACUAUAUUGCUUUGGGACAGAGACAAGGAAAAGCCCCUGUGCCAGUACCUGAUGCAGAUAAAACACUUUUUUUUUUUUUUCCUAUCCUUUAAAAUAAAGCUGCAGCCUUUCCUGUGAGUACUUCCUGAGCAGAUUAUGAAUACCCUGGAGAUGCAUGUCCCAGACAUCUAACGUUUAGGACCAGCAUCCCUUGCACGUUUGGCUGUGUGCAUCUCAGGCAGGCACUGUGACCCUGAAAAACACAGCAGGGCUGGGGCACGUGCAUCAAGCUUGGGUAGCGGCUAAAGGUAGCACAAAGUUCUUCCGUCUCUGGGACUUCAGCGUGUAUGUAAAAUGCGAGCGAUGUUUGAAUUCUUGACUAAAAGAAGGUAUUGUAUUUAUGCGUUCCCAAAUAGUAAUGCCUUUAUGCAAUUACGUCCGUGCCUGAGCUAAACUCCAGCUCCAGAGGCAACCCCGAGCUCUGUGGCCAGCCGCCGUCCAUGCAGCACAAACCGGGGCCGUCGGCUGGCGGGACCCCGGGGCCAGCACUGAUGCUGCGCGGUUCAGCUGGUCUCUGUGGUCUGGUGCUAUGUGUGAGAGGCCUGUCAGCCCUAGAGCAACUGCACAUCUGUUUCUGCCGAGCAAUCACCUGUGUGUGAUGCAGAAAGCACUGGAGUGACUUCACUGUGAGCAACAAGAGCAAGAGCUGGGGUGAGCUGAACUCUGGGAAUCUAUGAAGAUGAACUACAUUUUUGGCAUAACAUCACUGACAAGAAUGUCUUGGGAGCUACAAAACAAUUUACAAAAUACACCAAGGUGCAGUCUUGUCUCAGAGAACAUCAUACGUACAUGAAGUAUGAAGUGUUUCAAUGUCUCAGAAACAGGGCAAGGUAUGCUUUGUGUGUGCCAGCAGAAGGCAGAGGGACCUUGGCGGAGCUGUGCAUAUCCACAUCUGCCUGGUGCCAAGAUCAGGUUUUUGUUCACUGUGCUGCUCCAAAAGUGCAGAAAAAGAAGUGGAUGAGUUUAGUCCAGCAUGAUAACUGAUAUUUGGGAUCAUUUUUACCUAAUGACUUGUAUUUUGCUGCUUCACACUGAGCUCAGAUGUUGCUGCAUUGUGGGAUGCUCACUGAGUCUUUGUUUUAGUGUAAAACCACUUCCUCUGCGGCACAACUGGUCCUUGCCCUUUGGAAGUGCAUGGCUUCUGUGUAUUGUGAAAAGGCUCAAUACCUGGAUUGUAUCUUGUGAUGUGAUAAAUAUAUAAAGGGUAGGAGAGAAAAGAGAAGAAAUUAAAUGCCACAAUUCUACAGUUACUUGUAUACCUGUCUAAUAGCAGUUGGAGUAUUCAGGGUAGAAAAUUAGAUGUCAUCAGUACACUUGGAGAAGUACAGAAAUGUAUCCUGUGGGCAUUAAAGCACCAAGGAAUACGGAGAAGCUGCUGCUGACUAGCAAAAUAGCAAUCAAUAGAUAAUACAAAAGGAGAAGAGAACAAACAUACAAGCAAACCAACCAAUCAACCAAAACCAAAACUAAAAACAAAACCAACAGAAAAAUACAGAACCCCGAGAGCAUUCCUGAAAUUUUACUAUUUGUAGAAUCACUUAACAUGGUGUUUGGUUGCAUCAAUGUCCUCUGUCAGAACAUUUUUGCAUCAGAAACCAAUGCAUUAUUUACAAUGUAAAUGAUCAUUUUGUAUUUAUUCAAAAGCCUUUUCAAUUGUGCUUUGUUAAAUCAUGAGUAAAGCCCUGAAGACAGAAGUCUCUGGACAGUCUGUGCUGCAUACUGCUGCAGCUCAUGCCCUCUUCCUCUGAAGUCAGCAAAAGCCACAGCAGGAGAACACAAGAAUACGUGGGCCCUUUUCUGUGCUCGUCUGAUAAGGUCCUAAGUGUAUCAGGUGCUAUGGCAAAAUGCUGGAAGGUUCUGAAGAGCUGGCGGUUUCAGCAGGAGUGUGAGUACUCGGAAGAUACGUGGAUUGGUGGUACUAAAACCCCAUCUCACUCCUAUGAGCUUGAGCUGAGAGGUGAUCCCAUGCAGGAGGUGCAAUGGAAGGUAAGAUUGAGAAAGGGUUGAAGAUGAAGCAGAAGAUAAGUUCCGUGCUCAGAAUCUCCUGAUCAAAGACAGCCAAAUACUGAAAGUUUGCUUCACUGUAUUUUCCUUCCCGCCUUUCACUGGAUGUGAAUGAACAGGGAAAUCUUCCAUAUACUCUCUCAGUGUAUAAAAAAGAUGUGCUUUGAUUUGAGAAUGGGAUGCCAUUUUGACUGGAAUGGUAGAAAGCACGUCAGUAGUUUAACAGUUGUAAAAUUAGAAGGAAAGAAAACCCCAAAGAGAUGAGAAAAUAACUCGUAUUAAAGCAAUAGAAUAGUUUUAUGCUAUAAUAGCAUUCUGUGCGGCUUAAAGCAGCUCAAAGCAAUGCUCUUCUCACAGUAUCUGCCAAAUCCUAUCAGGAGUGUAAAGUGACAUUAUGAAGUCUCCAGAUUUAUUUUCAUGUCAUUGGGCUGAUUUGUGUCAUUUGAUGAAUUGCACGUUUGUAAAAUCAAUGUUAUUCACCCUGUGUAUUUUGCUUUUGUCAAAGUUCUCUGCUACAGACAAUAGCAAUUCAUGUAAGAGUUAUCACUUCAUAAGAUCUUACCAUCACCUUAUUUAAAAAAAAUCAUUUUCCAGUAGUGUUGGUAAAAAAGAUUAAUGGGAUACAGGAAAAUACAUUAGGUGAAUUCUCUUUAAUUUUGCUUAAUCACAUCUGCUAUUUUUUUAAACACGAGGCAAAAGGGAAAAUUAAAUCUGUGUGAGAGGCACAGGACAAACUCUUGUUCUCUUGCUCAUGGCAGUUGAGCCCAGGACGGGUCCGUUAACCCCUGAUGUGACUGGGGGAUGGCUCAAUCCCAGCCUGCCUGGGCUGGACACGUCGUAGGCGACUUCAACUUGAUCCUGUGUUACCCCUUAGGGCUUCUCCAGCUCCUUUCAAGGCAGAGAAUGGGCAGGUGUGCUGAACUCGAGGCUCUGAGGAGUACUCACAAGUGGUGAGAUGAACCCACUUCUGUUGAGCAAGGUAAGACGUGCACCUGGGUUGGCAGGAAGGACUCUGUUCAUGUAGGCACGCCAGUGCAGUGAUAGAUGGGGUUUUGUCUUCAGUAGUUGUAUGCAAUAAUUAAUCCUGUGAAGGCUUAGAAACCAGAAAAAUGUCUGCAGCAGGACAUUGAGUGGGAAUGCUUUUAAAAUUCUCUUGAUAGGUGCUGGUGAUUUUUAACUGUAUUGAAUUAUUUAGAUGGAGCCUUUUGGUCCUCCAGGAUCUCCGCUGAAAGUGCUGUGGCAGGCAUUAUUCCUCUAAUUUGAACAAUGACCUUGCACGUGAGGAACAACUGCCUGUUGCAGCUUAUUGCCAUAGGUAAAAUUAUUCUGGCAAACACAAGAUAAAAAAGAAGAGCAUCUUAGUAGUAAUAUAACUUGUGACAGUGAGUUGUUUACAGGUUUAAUGAUAGCUUACAGAUCAAUGUACAUUGCAGGAAGUCUCGUUCAUCAUAGUUUUGACUUGAUCGUUACCUUGUGGCAAGUUCUCCACACCUUUCUGAAAACCAUCUGCACCCCCCAGCAAUUCCCCUUGAGCAGUGCCUCCACGAUGCGACCACCUCACACCUCACUCUGGAAAGCCUUUGGAAUACCUACAGACAAACGCGGAUCAGUUACUUGUCCUGUAAGAUGCAAAGAGAGAGAGAGAGAGGUGCAUCACUGCUGUUUCCUGAAGCUGAAGUGUUGAGGACAUAUAUCAAAUCCAUGUAAUGGAGGAGCAUCACAUGGGAAACACAGCCUUCAAGAGAGAUUUUAAUGGCCAUCAGUGGUGCAGAGACCACGCACCAAGCAAUGCUGAUUCUCCAGAUGUGCCCAGAGGUGCCCAGGCAGCCAAGGAGGAGACACCCCUGCACUGACCCAGCACUGGAGCAUCCUUGUGGGCUGGACCGAGGGAAAUAAACGGGCAGUAAGAGCAGCUGGCACUUUGAAAAAGGGGUGGUAGGCCGGAUGGGGUCAGCAGAAAAAUAUUUAUAGUGGAAAUGGUGGAGCUUCCUUUGCACAGCUGAUUUUUGAUGUGAUUCUCUUGUCUUUAGAAAGAUGAAACUCCAGUAAGUGAUCCUGCAUCUUAACAGAGCUGUCAGCAAAUGACUUCUGUCCCAAUGUUUUGGUGCCAUUUUUCCUGAGCGGCCUGUGUAAUCGAUGGUGAAUCUUUACAUGCCCAGAGUGAGUUACUCAGAUCCAAAGCCAUUCUGGAAACAGUCUGUCUGACAGCCUUUUUAUUGGCAAAGAAGCUAUUUAAAUGAGAAACCUGUGUGACAGAUGAACUAGCUGCCCCAUGCGAUGGCAAACGGAAGCUGAUGAAUUCUGCUCGGGCAACCAGGAAAGAAGUAGUCAAAGGGACAAGGCUGAUGAACUGAGCUUAUUAACUUGACUUGGCGGUGAUGAGAGUGAUAUUGACAAAAAGGCUGCGGUAGACUUCAAACACACUUCCUGCAGUUGUGAGCCGAGAGCACUGCUUUGGCAAAAGGUGGGAGCUGCUUUACACGGGGAUGCAAAGUCUGCAGUGAGAGCCUCAUUGUCAGAAGUUGAGCACAGGUCAGGAGUUGAAAGCAGUGAAACACAUCCAUCUCCUGCAAUGGGUGGGAGCUGGAGACCAUCAAAGCCAGCCCCACUGUGGGCAUAAUCGAGGUGACUGCUGAAUCACGGGAUGAAAGGUACCUGCUGGAGGAACGAGUCCACUUGCUUGCUAACAGGAUACUAUUCACAGCUCUUUAAAAGUGUGGGGAAAUUGAUCGUCACUUCACUAUUCUCCUUGCUUAUUCAUCUGGCUAUAAACCUUUGAACAGGUUGCUUACUGCUCCACUCAGCUUAUUCUCUGUUAGGGUAGAUCUACAGUCAAGUGGUCCUUAAUGAUACACAAACAUCCUUAUAACAUUUGUAAAUUGAAUCCUGGAGCUGGCUGGGACUAUCUCUAAGUGUCCAAUGCGGAAAAUAAUUUCUAAAGUCCAAGGUGACACCAAAACACCUUUACCAUGCUGAAAUAUGUAGUAUAACAAUUAUUGUUUUUUUUUCUUCUUACAGAGGACUGCUCCUUUAUAGUUUUCUUCUUGAGAUGGCUUCCUUAGCCUGAGAGACUAUAAGUCACAGCUUUUGCUAAGUAUGACUCUGACCUGCUUGUGCUUGAAUAAUGAGUUCUUGUAUUUGUUGUUUUAUCUAUGCCUCCUUUACUUUCUGUGUGGGCAACAGCUAUCUAACUUCCACAAGUAACUUUUUCUGUAUCUUUGCAGUAUCUGCCUUUAUGUCCUGGAUGUAAGUUGUUCAUUAGUACUAGGAGUGCUUGUCUUUCAUGACAUCUGCUUAUUGCUGGUCCCCCAAAGACCAGCAGAGAAGUGCAGAGGAAAUUGGCAGAUCUAAUUUGAUUACUAUUUUGUCAAAUGUAUACUUAAAUGUGUGAAGAUUUGUCCAGAAGAUUUCUGCCUCUUAUUACAUUUCUUCACGUUAAAAGGUGCUUUCUGUUUGUUGGGUUGGUUUGUUGUUGGUGGUUUUGUUAGUUUGUCUGUUUGUUUUUAAUGAAGGUGAAAGAACUGAGUGAGGCAACCUGAUGUCUUGUACUAAGCUGUCAGUUUAAUAUGUUCUGCUAAUGUCAAUACUGUCCAGUCAAAGCACCAAAUCCUGGUCUUCUCCAGGUGGACAGCCCUUUUUGUGCCUGCAAGCCAGGGGCUGCGCUUCCUGGUGUGUUUCCUAAGUGGUAGUCCAAUGCAUGUUGCUCUCGGCCAAGUUUUCUGUGGAGUGGGAUAACGGAAAGACGUAGAUCCCAGUUGUCAACUCAUUUUCAGUGGAGAAAAUGAACAAUUUUAGUUCUUUAAAUGGCGCAGAGGAAUUAGUAUUGCUUGUUACAGCUCUCCUAAUAAGCAAGGGUUUCAUGGUGGAGGAGUUGCACAAAACCACCAUUUCACCCAGUGUCCCUAUUGGACUUCUUCCCAGGCAGCCCCACGUCACCAUGGGGCUUUGUGGGCUGCUGCGGGCGCUGCGUGGGAGGGUUCUGCUGCGAAGCUCUUCUGCUCAGACCCACAGUACCAUCUCGGUUGUCACAGAGACAGAGAAAUAGCUUAUCUAGGAAUGUAUUUCUUGGUGUGGUUUACAAAGGAUGAAAUGACUCUGCCAAUUUUAUGAGAGUCGUCCUUGUAAGCCUUGCCUGUGUAUUGGUUUGUAUGAGUGGCUUAGACUUGAGGCUUUAGUCAUUAGCUCUUAAAAACUUGUUAGUAUUUGAAACUAUGGCCAUCUCUUCUGCAAUAGAAAGCAUCUUUUUUCCAAUGCCUUCCUCUUAUCCCUCCGUGUUAUCCCUGCUAUUUUUUCAUGUUACUGCUCCUGGAGAAUAUUGAGGCAUUCUCUCAAAAGAGAUUCUUGUAUUUAUUGCUCAACAUUAUGAUUACUAUUGUGUAAAGAAUAUGUGAAAAUGUUUAAAUCGGCUCUUUUGCAUUCACUAACUUGUAUAAACCCUUUAGAAGCAUGAGAAUUAGAGGGAGUGUCAUUGCCUGGUCUAAGCAAGAGCAGAUAUACUACUUUGAGGGCUAAAAGAACUUAUCAGUAUCUGAAUGCACUAGCCUUUUUUUCUUUUUAAUAGAAACUUAAUAUUCUACAUAUAAAUCAUUGCCAGGAGGUCUGGAUCACAUGCUGAGUUUCUUGGCCGCCCGCUUGUGUUCCUCAGUAAAGUCUCCAGAAGCUCUUCAUGAGGAUAUCACAAAGGAAAGGAUACUGAAAUUUCUGGGAGGUAAAACCAUACAUCUAAUUGUGGAAAGCACAGGCAUGGUAGUACUCCGUGUUAAAAAUAUCUGUCCAUACACUUAGGGAGGUGAAGAAUGGUAUGGCACGUCCUAUAAAUCAACACCCAUGUCUAUUCUGUCAUAGCCAUACAAUUUAGGGGUUACAUUAGAAUAUUUAUAGAGAUGCAGGUGUUAUUUUCCCAUUUCUGUAACUUUUUUGUUUUGGUAGAAUUAGUAUUCGCUGAAUUGAUGUGUAUACAUUUUUGUACUUUCUGUUGCCUAGGGCUAUUGCACUUCAGUCUUUGAUCUUGCACGCUAAGCUGGUUGGAGGUUGGCCAGUACUUGGAUGAGAGAUUUCAUAGGAAUUUUGUGAUGCUGGGAGGAAUUGUUUUUGACUGGAGAUGGCACUUUCUCCUGUGAGUCAAUGCCGAACAAAUACCCCUGGAUGGCACCAGGGUGCCUGGAAUGUCACAGGCUCCAUCUGUAGAGGAGACAUAAAAUGUGGCCAUGCAAUAUGGUUUCCUAUGAACUACACACGUCCUGGCCAAAAUAAGAUCUAUGUAAUUAAUCCUGCAGUCAGAAGUUUCACAUAAUAUAUUAUCUCUCUCUCUUAACCUAUUGCUGAGGUUUUCUGUGCAGAGCUGCAGCAUUUCUGAGAAGGAUGAAGGAGAUCAUGUCUGUGGACAGAUGUAGUCAUUAUGACAGCAUUUAUUGUUGUGUAUGUCUAGGUGUGCAGGUACAAAACAAGUAACCAUAUAAAUGUUUAGCCAGUUAAGAAAGCCUGUUAACUCCCACUUGAAUAGAGGUGUGGUUGUUUUUGUACACACUAUGGCCCAUAGACUCCUUCCUUUCCCAAAGGGACAUGUAAGGAAUCUUGGCACAGAGGUGCUUGGGGCUGGAUCCACAAGCUGCCUCUGAGAGAGACCUGGGGAGUGUGCUUUGAAGGGCUCUCUGGUGCUGCAAGGGGAAUGUCCUGUGGUGGGAGAUUUCCCUACAUGAAUGUGGAAAACAUCGGUGAAAAACUGGCCAUAAUUUUUAAAGCAGAGACUUUUAUAGCAAUGUUCUGCAAACGGUGUCUCAUUUGCCAUUAGAGAGUGACCCCUUAAUCACAUUGACAAGUAAUCACUCACAUGAGUAAUCCUAUUGACAUCAGUUGGACUGGAGCUGCAUCAUUAUAAUUUAGCAAAUAACUACUCAGUUGUUUAGAAUAUAAAUGCUUCUAAUUUAUGUGGAAAUUGAAGGCAUUUCUAUCUCAUUCAUUAAAGAAAACAUGAUGUGAAUUAUCACUUACUUAACAUAUCUGGGAAAGGCAGUUUUAAAGCUGCAUAAUGCAAUAAAUAGAAUGAAUCUUUUUUUUUCAACCAAUGGCUACGUGAGAUUCCCAGUUAA